UUAUUAUUUUUCAUUUAUAAUAUGUAUCAAAGAAAAAAUUUGCAUCAAAAUCCAUUUAAAAAAAUAAUGCAUAAAAAAUUUUGUGGAACAACAUAAUUUGGACGUCAAAAUUUCAAUGUUCUUCAAAUUCAAAGUGGUGCAUCUUUUUAGCGCUGUCUACCGCUGUCGACAUACAUAUACCGAAUUAAAGCCUGAAGUCUCAGCUAAAAAAAAAAUUCAGCUGCCCCAAAUUGCCCCCCUUGAAAAAAACAAUGAGAUACUCUAAAAUGGCAAGUUACCGCCCAAAAGUAUGCAAUAUAUAGCGUACUUUAUAAACGUUUCGGUAUUUCUCCACUUCAUGCUCGUAUAAAAUUUAUGGAGUGCAUUUUGCACAUUGCGUACCGUCUUACUUUUAGAAAGUGGGGAAUUACAAAGGACGUAAAGCUAGAGAUGGAAGCAAAUAAAGCAGCUAUUCAAGACAAUCUGAAACAAAUACUGGGUAUCAAUGUAGACGUAGUGAAACAAGGAAUGAGCACAACAAAUGACGGGAAUAUGUCUAGACGAUUUUUUGAAAAUCCUGCUCUAACAUCUGAUGCAACUGGAGAAGUCGAUUGAUACAGACAAAUUCUAUAGAUAUUGUUUGGAUACCGCCAAACUGUAUGUUGACCUUUAUGGCUGGUAUUAUAUGCCCAUAACUGUUCACAAAGUUUUAAUUCAUGGCAGCAAAAUUAUUUCAGAGGCUAUUUUACCAAUAGAAUGUUAUCUGAGGAAGCACAAGUAGCACGCAACAAGGAUUACAGGAACUAUAGGAUGUAUCAUUCCAGAAGAGUUGGACUCAUAUCCACUAACGAAGAUGUGAUGUAUCACUUAUUAAUGUCUUCGGAUCCGUACAUAAACAUUUUUCGUACUAAAAUACAAUUAAACAAGUAAGGAAGGGCUAAGUUCGGGUGUAACCGAACAUUUUAUACUCUCGCAAUUUAUUUAUUUAACUUUAUUUAUAUUAUAUAAUACACAAUUUGACCCACAUAUUCGUCAUAUAUAUUGUAUAAAGUCCAUUGAAAGUUGGAAAUCCUAAUAUUAAAUUAGAAGCACCGAGGUCCUCAUGUUCGAUAUAUGGGGCCUUGAAAACCUAAGGUCCGAUUUCGGCGAUUUUUAGAUAUCUUCACUAGUGCUUACUUUAUAUAUUGUAAAGUAAACGAUUCAGAUUGUCUUCAAAGUUCUGGUAUAUAGGAAGUAGGCGUAAUUGUGAAGCGAUUUGGCCUAUUUUCAUAUUAUAUCAUUCGGAUGUAAGAAACCUAUUACAAACCAAGUUUCAUUGAAAUCGGUCGAGUAGUUCCUGGGAUAUGGUUUUUGACCCAUAAUCAUUUUUGGAUUGUAUUAGGAGAUGGCUAAAAAAAAGGACUGCAGAAAGCUUGGUUUAUAUAGCUCUAUUGGUUUGCGAGAUAUGUACAAAAAACUUAGUAGGGGGCGGGGCCACGCCCACUUCCCCAAAAAAAUUACAUCCAAAUAUGCCCCUUCCUUAUGGCACUUUAUGUGUUUUCGGUUUUCGCCAUUUUGUGGGCGUGGCAGUGGUCCGAUUUUGCUCAUUUUCGAAAGCAACCUUCCUAUGGUGCCAAGAAAUAAGUGUGCCAAGUUUCAUCAAAAUAUCUUAAUUUUUACUCAAGUUACAGCUUGUACAGACGGACGGACGGACGGACAGACAGACAUUCGGAUUUGAAUUCCACUCUUCACCCUGAUCACUUUGGUAUAUAUAACCCAAUAUCUAACUCCUUUAGUUUUGGGUGUUACAAACAACCGUUAUGUGAACAAAACUAUAAUACUCUCUUUAGCAACAUUUGUUGCGAGAGUAUAAAAAAUUAGAAUGUCGCGAAGAUGUAAAAAAGUUGCUAAAAGAGACUUGAUAGAAGAGAAUUUAAUUGUAUGGGAGGUGGGCGGAUAUUAUUGAAAUUUAACACCAACAUAUAUAAUGUCAUAAAAAUGCUAUGUACCAAAAAUCAGUGCUGUAGGUCAAAAAUUAAGGUUCACCUUAUAUGGGAGGUGGGCGUAAAAGUGGGCGGAUAUUAUUGAAAUUUAAAACCAAUAUAUAUAAUGUCAUAAAAAUGCUAUGUACCAAAAAUCAGUGCUGUAGGUCAAAAAUUAAGUUUCACCUUAUAUGGGAGGUGGGCGUAAAAUAGGGAGCGUGAUUUUGAUUUUUUCAUUUUUUUCUUAAUUGGAAUCCAAAACAAUGAUGUACCAAAUGUCAUUGUCCUGCGAAAACUCCUUAUAUUUUUAGCCGCAGUAUGCACUAGCAGAAACCUAUGUGCGACGUGUUGUAAAAGAGGAGGAGGGUUAACCUUUUUCCUGAUGCUAGAACCGGACCGAAGAUGAUGACCAAAGAUUACCUUUGCUGGAGUCUGCCCCGUUGUUUCAUGUAGAGCAGACCGAUAAGCCAUCAGGAACAAAGCUAUAUGGGUAUCCCAAUCCUUUUGAUACUUGUCUACCACUUUCGUUAGAUGUUCUUCCAAAGUUCGAUUGAAACGUUCUACCAUACCUUCGGACUGUGGAUGUAAGGCUAUUGUACGAGUUUUCUGUAGACCCAAUUUGAGGCACAUUUCCUGGAUUAGAGCUGAUUCGAAAUUCCUUCCUUGGUCAGAAUGUAAUUCUAUUGGAACACCAUUCCCAAUUAUUGAUGAAUACAUUCGCUACUGUUUCAGCUUCUUGAUUAGGAAUUGGGUAUACUUCUGGCCAUUUGCUGAAGUAAUCCAUAACCACCAAAACAUAUUUGUUUCCUAAUUUGCUGGUGGGAAACGGACCGGCUACAUCCAUGGCAAUUCGUUCAAAUGGGGCACCCGAAUUGUGCUGCUUCAUCUGGCCGUGACUCCUGGAUUUCGGCCCUUUGGUGUAAUACACUCAGCACAAUUAGCAAUCCACUCCGUGACUGAUUGCCGACAACCAACCCAAUAAAAUCUUUGCUUUAGUUUUUCCAAGGCUUUUGUGAUUCCCAUGUGCCCUCCACUUGGGCCGUUAUGCAUCUCCUUGAGAACAUCAGGAAUUCUUACUUUCGAAACGAUUAUAAGAGCUCGGGAACUUUGUCCAUCUUCUCUUUCCCAUACUCGAUGCAAGCAGCCAGAUACCAACUUUAAACUGUUCCACUGUUCCACAGUUCCAAAUCUGGAUCUUUUUGCUGACAUUUUCGUAAUUCCUUAGGAUCCAAGCCUUCUGUGGAAGUUAUUGUCAUUAAUCGGACAUCUAUAAUGUCUUCAUUAGCUUCAGCUCUGGAACAAUGUCUACAUUCUAAAUUACAAGGACGACGGGACAUCGCGUCCGCAUUCCCAUGACUACCAUGACUACCUUUGCGAUGAUCUAUAGAGAAGUCAUAACUUUGGAGUCUCUCAAUCCACCGUGCCAACUGUCCUUCUGGAUUCUUGAAUUGCAGAAGCCAUUUCAAUGCUGCGUGAUCUGUCCUUACUCGAAAUCGCUGUCCAUAAAGGUACUUAUGGAAAUGUUUGAUGCACUUCACCAAUGCCAGUAAUUCUCUUCGCGUUACGCAAUAAUUCUUCUCUGGCUUAUUUAUCGUCUGGCUAUAAUACGCGACCACUUUCUCAUUCCCGUCAAUCACUUGUGAUAGAACGCCUCCUAUUGCAUAGCCACUAGCAUCUGUGUCCAAGAUGAACGUUGAGCCUGGAACUGGAUAUGCUAACAUUGGCGCAAUACAUAAUCUCUCCUUCAGAGUUUGGAACGCCAAUUCCUGUUCCUCAUUCAAUUUAAAGACUUUGUUCUUCUUCGUGAGUUCAUGGAGGAUACUAGCCACGCUGGCGAAAUUUGGAACGAAUCGUCGGUAAUAGGUACAUAGUCCAACUAAACUCCGCAAUUCUUGUAAAUUUUUAGGUCUGGGCCAAUCCUUUACUGCCUCUAUCUUUUCCUGAGCUGUACAAAUUCCCUUCGUUGUCACUUUGUGUCCUUUUUUUGUUGGGACAACUUUGUUGUUAAGCGUGUCUCCUGCGCUUCAAACUGGGAUUUCAUCUCCGAUGACAUCUGGGACACUGCAGACACUGUUAAAUCUUUAUUUCUAAUUUAACAAACUUAACACUUUAUUACUCGUUGUACAAGUUUACAACUUCUUACUUCUAAUUUCUUGCACUUUACUCGGCAACUCUCUAAUUAGAACUAUGUGUUGCCCGAUUGUUAGCAAGUUAUCGUCAUUCGAACAUUCUGGCAACUACGAAUAUCGAUGUCUGGAUAAAUCUGGCAAGUUAUCGAUUUCGUUGUUGAUUCUAGUUUAUUCUAGCAUACAUGUUCGUCACAAUAUCAAGUUGCUUGCAGCCUAUGUCAUGGCUUUCAAUUAAUGUCAAUUUUGAAAAUUAGUUCGUGUGAUCAACUUGAAAGCAAGCUCUUUCCAGUGUAACGACAGCGUAAGAAAUAAUUAAGAAAUAAUUAAAUUCAAUAUUUAUCGUGAUAUUUGGAUCGCGAUCUAUAUUGAAUAUUGAUGGGUUGCGGAUGAAUACUUCGCUAGACGUUCAAUAUAUAUUAUGUCAAUAUUUAUACGAUCCUAGUUGUGUUUUCACAAGAAAAAUAUUGAAAAAAUUAAUAUGUUUAUUUUUUCGUACAUUUUUUUUUGGCUCUUGUUUUUGGUCUCACAGCAAUGCAUUAUAUGCAUCCAAUAUUUGGUCGUUAUCAAAA